rnacentral:misc_RNA from 1 species
UCCCUGUUACCAGGGCAGUCUAGCUAGAAAAAUUCAACUAACUACAAGGGUUGCGCUCGUUGAUGGACUUAACCAAACAUCUCACGACACGAGCUGACGACGGCCAUGCAACACCUGUCACCGAGUUCAAUAAAGCACAUUCGUCUUUCGACAAACUUCUCGGGAUGUCAAACCUGGGUAAGGUUCUUCGCUUACCAUCGAAUUAAACAACACGCUCCACCGCUUGUGCGGGUCCCCGUCAAUUCCUUUAUGUUUUAGUCUUGCGACCGUACUCCACAGGCGGGAUGCUUAACGCGUUAGCUUCGCUACUACCGGGGUCGAUACCGAUAACAGCUAGCAUCCAUCGUUUACAGCGUGGACUAC